rnacentral:rRNA from 1 species
UACGUAGGGUGCAAGCGUUAAUCGGAAUUACUGGGCGUAAAGCGUGCGCAGGCGGUUUGAUAAGCCAGAUGUGGAAUCCCCGAGCUCAACUUGGGAACUGCGUUUGGAACUGUCAGACUAGAGUGCGUCAGAGGGGGGUGGGAUUCCGCGUGUAGCAGUGAAAUGCGUAGAGAUGCGGAGGAACACCGAUGGCGAAGGCAGCCCCCUGGGAUGACACUGACGCUCAUGCACGAAAGCGUGGGGAGCAAACAGG